rnacentral:rRNA from 1 species
CGGGAGGCAGCAGUGGGGAAUAUUGCACAAUGGGCGCAAGCCUGAUGCAGCCAUGCCGCGUGUGUGAAGAAGGCCUUCGGGUUGUAAAGCACUUUCAGCGGGGAGGAAGGCGUUAAGGUUAAUAACCUUGGCGAUUGACGUUACCCGCAGAAGAAGCACCGGCUAACUCCGUGCCAGCAGCCGCGGUAAUACGGAGGGUGCAAGCGUUAAUCGGAAUUACUGGGCGUAAAGCGCACGCAGGCGGUCUGUCAAGUCGGAU